CUUGGAAGUUCAACAGUGGUUGGCAGUGGAAUUAAUGGCCACAUUUCAGACUCUCUAUUUAUUUUGAACACGCUAUACGGUGUAGAAUGUGCCACCAUCCUAAGAACAGUAUGUUCUCCCAAUGCCACUGGAAUUCCCAUAAGCUAAGCAAACAUUCGUGCCACCAAUUGCCAUUUUAAGAGGUCUCAGACAAUAUACCUUGGAUUCCCGUUUGGAACUGAGCUCAUGGUACUGCUUCUGAAGACAUGCAGAGGCAGAUAGGACAUGCCUCAACUCCCGACCAACCAACAGAAGGACCAGGGAAAAAUUCAGUCCCUAUGCUCAGGCGAGAACAGGGACUACUUCCCAACUGAGAACACACAGUACCCCAGAGGAUGUGGGCAAAGUCUUUAUUAAUAACAGACACAUGGAACCACAGUCACUGGAUCAUGGAGUGCAUCACCACAGACAAGUCUUCGAGCAUAAAUUAUAUUGCUGCUUCUUAUAAGAAAUCUGCUAGGAACCAUGAAGACUAUGCACUGGUCUACCAUUCUUUAUUCU